rnacentral:rRNA from 1 species
CACGUAAGAAUUUGCCUUUAGGAGGGGGACAACAACUGGAAACGGUUGCUAAUACCCCAUAUGCUUUCGAGUAGAAAUGGUAUUUUUCCGCCUAGAGAGAAGCUUGCGGCUGAUUAGCUUUGUUGGUGAGGUAAUGGCUCACCAAGGCGACGAUCAGUAUCUUGGUUUGAGAGGACGAUCAGACACACUGGAACUGAGACACGGUCCAGACUCCGUACGGGAGGCAGCAGUAGGGUAAUUUUCCGCAAUGGGCGAAAGCCUGACGGAGCAAUCUCGCGUGAGGGAUGACGGCCUAUGGGU